AUUGAACGCUGGCGGCAUGCCUUACACAUGCAAGUCGAACGGCAGCACGGGAGCAAUCCUGGUGGCGAGUGGCGUACGGGUGAGUAAAGUAUCGGAACGUGCCCAGUCGUGGGGGAUAACGUAGCGAAAGUUACGCUAAUACCGCAUACGAUCUAUGGAUGAAAGCGGGGGAUCGCAAGAGCUCGCGCGAUUGGAGAGGCCGAUAUCAGAUUAGGUAGUUGGGGGGGUAAAGGCUCACCAAGCCGACGAUCUGUAGCUGGUCUGAGAGGACGACCAGCCACACUGGGACUGAGACACGGCCCAGACUCCUACGGGAGGCAGCAGCGGGGAAUUUUGGACAAUGGGCGAAAGCCUGAUCCAGCCAUGCCGCGUGUAGGAUGAAGGCCUUCGGGUUGUAAACUGCUUUUGUACGGAACGAAAAGGUUUGGCCUAAUAAGUUGAGCUCAUGACGGUACCGUAAGAAUAAGCACCGGCUAACUACGUGCCAGCCGCCGCGGUAA
rnacentral:rRNA from 1 species